UACGGGGGGGCAAGCGUUGUUCGGAAUUACUGGGCGUAAAGGGCUCGUAGGUGGCCAACUAAGUCGGACGUGAAAUCCCUCGGCUUAACCGGGGAACUGCGUCUGAUACUGGAUGGCUUGAGUUCGGGAGAGGGAUGCGGAAUUCCAGGUGUAGCGGUGAAAUGCGUAGAUAAUCUGGAGGAACACCGGUGGCGAAGGCGGCAUCCUGGACCGACACUGACGCUGAGGAGCGAAAGCCAGGGGAGCAAACGGG
rnacentral:rRNA from 1 species